rnacentral:tRNA from 1 species
GGUCCUGUGGUGUAGUGGUUAUCACGUCUGCUUCACACGCAGAAGGUUGCCGGUUCGAUCCCGGCCAGGACCU